rnacentral:tRNA from 1 species
GGUGGCUCAGUGGUAGAGCUCUUGCCUUGCAUGCAUGAGGCCCUGGGUUUGAUUCCCCAGCACCA